AAGGCUUUCCCUAGAGCACACUAAUACUCAUGUAGGCCUUUGAAUGUUGUCUCUUGUUGCCGAUCAGGUUUCGAUCUUGGGGUCAGUAACUGACCAAGUUGGAGGUUAGGCAUAGGUUGAUGAUGUAGUAUUGUCUUAUCAUAGGUGCUUGGAUCUCUCUAUGAUAUUUGAGGUGGUCUCGCCAAUCAAGUCAUCAAUGGAUGCUCGGUUG
rnacentral:lncRNA from 1 species